UAAACUUAUGAACUUUAUACCUCCAAAGAGUCCCAAAUGAUGAUGUUAUCCCAGAUCUAUGAGCUCAAACUUCCCAAGUCCUUCCUUGCCAACUUCUUUUUUCCUUUUCCAAGCUUAAAACCACCAAGAUGUGUUUUUUAAGAUCAAAAUUACACAAGAAUGAAGGGAUGAGGCGUUCAAGGGUUUAUCUAAGUUUGGGGAGGCUGAUAAGGGGCCAGGAUUUGAGCCGUUAUUCUCCUUAUAUAGUGGUUAGCCAACAAAAUUAGGGUAUACGGUCUCUGAGAGUACGUUGGGCGUACUCCUCCCACACCCGCGAUCAUUUACUCCAUUACAUUGGGCGUACUCCUAGCUUACGCUGGGCGUACCCAAUCGGACACGUGCAUGCUUCCCUUGCAUGCAUGGGACUUGCUUGCCAAACAUUUUCAUUAGGGGCUAUUUAUGGCAAUAACUUCGAAGGGCUAUAACUUCUUUGUUCUUAGUCUGUUUCCGACCAACUUUAUAUCCACAAAAAGGUGGCAAAAAGCCUUAUGUUCCUAGCUGUACCACCAAGCGUUAAGCUUCCGAAUAAAUCCAUAGACCCAUAAAAGACUGAGUCGCUUAUACCAUGGGCCUCGAGACCGCCACCAAAGUACUCUUCAAAACAGGGAGUUACAAAAAGAGAAAGGUAGAAAAAGUUAGGAGAACCUCAUGAACACUUCUACCAUUGUCACCUAACUCCUCAACCAUAAUCAUAUCUUCAAAAUACUAAUUGAACAAGUUACUUUUAUUGGUUUAUGGUCACGUGCCUUUUAUUAUAUGUUUCAAAAUAUGAUGAAUUGGCUUUGAAAAAACAAAGAUUAUGAGUGUACGUAGAAUUUGGUUAUGAUUACAAUUAUAUAUGUGUCUAUCGGUAAAUAAAGGUAUAUAAGAAAUAUAAUAUUUGAUCGGUAUAAUUAAAGUAUAGUAUUUGAAUGUGUGACUAUGAUUACAUAUUGGUCAUUCUUUUUGUAUGAGUAUAUGUCGACUAGUCAUCCAUUUUACUUAUACAGAGCCAUCGAGUCCUACCCAACGUUGAAUGGGCUUCAUAAGCCCACUGGAGGCCCCCUAAUGGCCCAAGUUGCUAAAUUGGGCCCAAUCCCCCUAACGGGAUUUACCCUCAGCCCAAGCAUCUUCUUGGUCCACAUUAUCUGACUCUGGGUGGCCCAGUAAGGCGCAAAAGACCAAAAUCCCUUGCAUGGCCCAAACUCGCAAGACCCGAAUAUGAUGAGUACACUGGGCGUACUCCUUUGUACGCUAAGCGUACUAGCCAAAUGGUGUGUACGCUAGGCGUACGUACAUGUACGCUCAUCGUACUCCCCUGUUAAGUCAUUUUCCCAUUAAUUGCUUAAUACUUAGAUGCAAAAGGUACAAUCACAUAUCCAAGUCCUUUUCAAUGUCUUAAUCCCUAAAGUCACUGACUUGGUAACUUUGCUUGCCCCAAAGAAGUCCAAACUCCAAAAAUGAUAUUCUACUUCCAUGAAAGUGGUCUCAACUCUUGUAUGAACCCAUUAAGACCACCAAGAUGACAACUUUCUUACCUAGGGUGGCAGCCCUCAACCUAGAAAUUAGAUUUGGCUUAUAAAGCUUCAUCCAUUGGACCAAAAUGACUUCAAAGCCAAACUACACUAGAUCUAAGCACUCUUAUGUAAACUUAUGAACUUUAUACCUCCAAAGAGUCCCAAAUGAUGAUGUUAUCCCAGAUCUAUGAGCUCAAACUUCCCAAGUCCUUCCUUGCAGACUUCUUUUUUCCUCUUCCAAGCUUAAAACCACCAAGAUGUGUUUUUUAAGAUCAAAAUUACACAAGAAUGAAGGGAUGAGGCGUUCAAGGGUUUAUCUAAGUUUGGGGAGGCUGAUAAGGGGACAGGGUUUGAGCCGUUAUUCUCCUUAUAUAGUGGUUAGCCAACAAAAUUAGGGUAUACGGUCUCUGAGAGUACGUUGGGCGUACUCCUCCCACACCCGCGAUCAUUUACUCCAUUACAUUGGGCGUACUCCUAGCUUACGCUGGGCGUACCCAAUCGGACACGUGCAUGCUUCCCUUGCAUGCAUGGGACUUGCUUGCCAAACAUUUCCAUUAGGGGCUAUUUAUGCCAAUAACUUCGAAGGGCUAUAACUUC
rnacentral:lncRNA from 1 species